CGUCUGCUCUGUUCAAUGUAUUUUUUGCCGCAUAUGCAUGAAAUGCUGUAAACUCCUGCUGUCUCAAACGGAAUUUUGUUUUAACGGAGCGAAGAUGUUGGAACAUUUUUGGACAAGUUGUAAUUCUGAUUUUUCGAAAACUGGUCAUUGAUGUUUUGAAAAGACAACAGUGGUUCAGUAACGCGGAUUGAGAUAGUCUUACGGUUCUGUGAACAAGAGAGUUGAUAACCGAAGAUUUUUGAGCCGGUUGAUGAUGUGAUAAGUUUCGAGCAGAAUGCGAGCCAGUUUCAGUUAAGCCAACAAGAUGAUUGGCGAAACGUCAGCAAGUUGGAUUGAUCAACACCCGACGCAGGAGAAAUCUAGAAGUUUUAUUAAUAGUAAUCUUGUACUUUUUCGUCAAGCAAAUUUCGCGAUAAAAGUACCAUCAUUCAAGGAAUCCAUGCUUAUAUUAUUUACUGUAGUAACAACAUUGCAUUCAUUGAUGGUAAUGUAGUUAUCACUAAU